AAUCUAUGGUGUAGGCACUUCUGAAUCAGCGUCUUGAAACUCUCCCAUGCUUUGUGAAGGCUUUCUCCUUCUAACUACUUAAACAUCAAAAUUUCCCUUCUUAGUUU
rfam:Gossypium arboreum cultivar AKA8401 contig_35728_3, whole genome shotgun sequence.